GUCACAGCGUACCAAUGACAGUGACAUGUUUAAUGGUCAGUCCCUCCCAGGGUCACAGCGUACUAAUGACAGUGACUUGUUUAAUGGUCAGUCUCUCCCACGGUCACAGUGUACUAAUGACAGUGACCUGUUUAAUGGUCGCUCCCUCCCAGGGUCACAGUGUACUAAUGACAGUGACAUGUUUAAUGGUCAGUCCCUCACAGGAUCACAGUGCACUAAUGACAGUGACCUGUUUAAUGGUCAGUCCCUCCCAGGGUCACAAUGUACUAAUGACAGUGACAUGUUUAAUGGUCCCUCCCUCCCAGGGUCACAGUGUACUAAUGACAGUGACAUGUUUAAUGGUCAGUCCCUCCCAGGGUCACAGUGCACUAAUGACAGUGACAUGUUUAAUGGUCAGUCC
rnacentral:lncRNA from 1 species